rnacentral:misc_RNA from 1 species
UGACGCAGUCAAAUUGGG